rnacentral:rRNA from 1 species
UACAGAGGUCUCAAGCGUUGUUCGGAUUCAUUGGGCGUAAAGGGUGCGUAGGCGGCCUGCUAAGUCGGAUGUGAAAUCCCUCGGCUCAACCGAGGAACUGCAUCCGAUACUGGCGGGCUUGAAUCCGGGAGAGGGAUGUGGAAUUCCAGGUGUAGCGGUGAAAUGCGUAGAUAUCUGGAGGAACACCGGUGGCGAAGGCGGCAUCCUGGACCGGUAUUGACGCUGAGGCGCGAAAGCUAGGGGAGCAAACGGG